GCACCGUAGCAUAAUGGCUAAGGAGCUGCUUUUCCAAAGGAGAGGUGCUGGGUUCAAUUCCCAGGUAGGGCA